GACAGAGGGUGCAAACGUUGCUCGGAAUUACUGGGCGUAAAGCGCGUGUAGGCGGACGUGUAAGUCAGGUGUGAAAUCCCCGGGCUCAACCCGGGAACUGCACUUGAAACUGCGCGUCUUGAGUACUGGAGAGGGUAGUGGAAUUCCUGGUGUAGAGGUGAAAUUCGUAGAUAUCAGGAGGAACACCGGUGGCGAAGGCGACUACCUGGACAGUCACUGACGCUGAGACGCGAAAGCGUGGGGAGCAAACAGG
rnacentral:rRNA from 1 species